CUGAGUCUUCUAGAAUGUUCCUGGAAGCACUAAAUUAAAUCAGACUAUUCUAUGAGAACAUUGGUGCUUCCAGAAAACUCUUUAAUGCUGCUUUUGCAACAGGGCUCUCAAGGAGAGCUGAGAGGCUAAACAGGAUCCGGGGAGAGUGGAGACGCACAGACAUAAUAGAUGGAUCGCAUGCUAUUUAUACAGGCUGGCUCGGAAAACUGAGCGUGAGAGGAGAGAAAAUGAAGGGGAGUGAAGGAGGAAGAGAACAUGUUGACUCGCGCUAAUCUGUUUCAUCUCUCUCUACACUCCCUGUGUGCUUUUCUCUUAAACUGGAGAGGAAACCACACAGGCUCAUUUUCAAUCUAAGAAUCAAAUUCUUACAAUCACCUAUUCAAUAUUGGGUCAUGCUGAGUCCAAAUCCCCAGUAUCGCCUCAGCCAAUAGGAAGCUGGCGCUGUAACCACCCUGAUGAACAGAAUUUGCAGUGUUAGCAUAACAGUACAGAGCUGUUCAGUCAUUAAAAGUCAGUUUGUAGGCCAACCUGGAAGGCUAAUUCACUACGGGAAUUUCUAAUGGGUUUUUAGAUCAAUGGUUUUGGAUUUAGGUGUAUGGUUAACACUAAGCCUACUUGAUGACACUUUCUUAAUUACAUCUACUGUACCACAAAGAUGUACGUUUACAUACAAGUUUGGGGCCAGGCUCUGCCUCAAAGAAACAAUCUGUUCUCCUGGACUUCCUCUUUUAAUAGAAAUCUGAGUGAUGGCGCAUGAACAGGAAAUCUGCAGCGAGAACACCACAACAAAAGCUGCCGUCUCCAGUGUUUUCUCAGCAGAACAGAUUUGCGGGGCUGUUUUCUUGUGCCCUCAGUGAUGUUGUGACCAGGAUACACCUGCAUGUGGAAGCUGAGGGAAGGAAGCGAAUCAAGGAAGCCUCGCUGUUUUUUCUCAAGGCCUCUCUGUGGUGGAUGAGCUCUCGCCCUCCUAUCUACGCCCCGGUAAGUUAAGGAAACAGCCACUGGCCCGUGUCUGCAUAGCAUAUGGAGAAUCACACCAGGAGGAAGUCAGUACAAUACUCAUUUCCAAGAGCUCAACAAUCGCCUGCUAAUAAUGAAGGACAUAAAACAUAAACAACCAGUGAUUCCCAAGCCGAUUCGUAAGCAUUUGUACACAAAAGCAGACACUUCGGCCAUUCUCUCAAGGCUGGAACACGCAGAACAGUCUGUUCCCUUUGGUUAAACAUGUUUGUUAGAGAUUUAAGACCAGAUUGGUGGGGAAACAGAGGACAGGGAGGAUCAAUGUCCUGGCUUAAACCACAGCGCCUUGUUCUCCGUCUCAAUGCUUUGAUCGGGGCCGUAUCUCUGUACCUGUGCUCUCGGAUCCGACUUAUUCAAUUACAUUUGAGCUGAUUCCAAAUGAGAAAAAGAGAAGCCAAGAAAAAAAGUGCAUUUUCAUGCUGGCGCGGAAGAACAGUGUCUUGCCGUCUAACAUUGAUUUCCAAUACGACAGUCCUAACAUGUCCAGAUACACUAAAACAGGACAAGAUUAGUCCAAACCGCCCUAUCAUGCUAUUUGAAGCGAAGAUCAGGGAAUGCAUUUUCCACAAUCUAAAAAAGCCACUUAAAGAUUGUUGACCUUAAUGGAAGAAGUGCAGAGACAGUAUGGAGUUUCUCUACAACAUUUGAACUUGAUUUGAUCCAAAUUGGAUAUAUGUAUGUAUGUAUUUAUAUUAGGGGUGUAACGGUACGAGUAUUUGUCCUGAACCAUCAUGGUAUGGACGUCAUGUUUCAGUCAGACGAUGAAUACAGUCAGUCACAGGCAAUCCACACUCCAAUCCAGAAGGGGGCGUGUGGUAAUGCAACGCUGUUUGUUACCAGUAAAAAGCGCAGAAUAAGAACAGAUGAUCUAUGCAUAGAUAUGUUUAUGUGUAAUCUCUCAACCAGUGUUUCAACCGUGGAAUUUUUUUUUUUUUUUUUUUUUUUUUUGAUUGUUGAUUAUUAUAUCCAAAAAUAAAAAUAGCAACUGAAUGUAAUAGUUUGGUCUCUGUUGUUAAUUGUAACCUUUAAUAUUACAGUAAUGUGCAAGAAACGGCUGCCUGUACAUAGUUUACAGCAUUAGCUGAGAGAGAUUUUUUUAUCCUUAAGAAAAUGUUAAUUUAUUUAAAGAGAGAGGCAAUUUGUUCAAUAAACCACUGUUUAAUAAAAAAGAAGAAAAAAAGAAGCAAUUUUAUGUUUGAAGGCCAUGUUACUAGCAUCUGUAAAACCGCAUUCUUCCAUCUUAAAAAUAUAUCUAAACUACGACAUAUGCUCUCAAUGAAAAAUGCAGAACAGUUAGUUCAUGCGUUCAUGACCUCAAGGCUAGAUUACUGUAAUGCUCUACUGGGUGGUUGUUCUGCUCGCCUGAUAAAUAAACUACAGCUCGUACAAAAUGCAGCAGCUAGAGUUCUUACUAGAACCAGGAAGUAUGACCAUAUUAGCCCAGUUCUGUCAACACUGCAUUGGCUUCCUGUUAAACAUCGUAUAGAUUUUAAAAUCUUGCUAAUUACUUACAAAGCACUAAAUGGUUUAGCUCCCCAGUACCUGAGCGAGCUCCUAAUUCAUUAUAGUCCUUCACGUCUAUUGCGAUCUCAGAAUUCAGGCCAGCUGAUAAUACCUAGAAUAUCAAAAUCAACUGCAGGUGGUAGAUCCUUCUCCUAUUUGGCACCUAAACUCUGGAACAAUCUUCCUAGCAUUGUUCGGGAAGCAGACACACUCUGUCAGUUUAAAUCUAGACUAAAAACGCAUCUCUUUAACCUGGCAUACACAUAACACAUUACCAAUUUAUAUUUCCAAAUCCGUUAAAGGAUUAUUAGGCUGCAUAAAUUAGGUCAGCCGGAACCGGGAACACUUCCUAUAACACCUGAUGUACUCGUUACAUCAGAAGAAGAAUGGCAUCUACGCUAAUAUUAGUCUUUCUGUUUAUCCCGAGGUUCACCGUAGUCAACCGGAUCCGGGCCGUAUCCAGGUGAGACCAAGGACCUGCACCUUGACACGACCACAACACAGCCCUGAAGUAUCAGCAGAGAUUGAGUCAACUAGAUCAUCCACUGUGAAGGCCUCAUCGACACGACAGCCACGACACAGUUCCUCAACAACCGUCCAUACCGGCGUGAUGAAUACGAUCCUCAAUUGGAUGGAACUGAAAUAAAUACUUUUAAUGUUGCGAUCCUAUUGGACUUAUGAUAGCAACCUGAAUUGUAACAAAGCACUGUUGGCCAGAGGAGAACUGGCACCCCGACUAAGCCUGGUUUCUCCCAAGGUUUUUUUCUCCAUUUUAACACCAAUUUGCCACUUGUCUGCCACCUGAUGUCACCUGAUGGAGUUUGGGUUCCUUGCCGCUGUCGCCUCUGGCUUGCUUAGUUGGGGACACUUGACUUGACAUUUGAUAUUCAACAGUGCUUUGAUCUGCCUGCAUUGACACUAUUCUUUAAGAGCUGCUGUGCAGCCAAACAAUGUACCAGUUAUCAAUGUAAAGCUGCUUUGACACAAUCUACAUUGUAAAAAGCGCUAUAUAAAUAAAGGUGACUUGAC